AGAGACUUAGGAUAAUCAGACCAAAGGCCUUCAAAGCCUUAAGCGGGAGUGAAAACCUCCCAGCCUCUG
rnacentral:tRNA from 1 species